GAUAAGGGACCUCCUAAACAGCGGGUAAUCAACACUGAAGACUUGACUUCCCCGUUGACACCUUUACCCGGAAUGUAAUCGUUAGCCUCAGGACGGGAUCGAUCAUGUCAUAUAAUCCACCCCGGAGACCAGAUUAAACCCGUCAACUCUGUCACCCAUCUGGCGACCCGCUGUCCCAGGCCUUGAAGCGGACAUCGAACCCGUCAUCUCCUCCCAGCCGGGUGACACGACAGAGAUCACGUGAUGCCUUGCGGGAGCCGCGUUCAUCCUUGUAGGUAUAAAUAGGAAAAGCAAGAGAGUGAUCUGGUAAGCCUAAAUCUCUAGUCUGAUUCUCUUCUCUUAGAAAACCAAGACUGAUUGUCACGCCGGAGGCGCGAAUCGGACAACACCACCGAUCGAGCGUUGUUUUGCAGGAACACUACCCUAGCAGGUGCACCACAUGACGAGAAGAAGAACAGCAAAGAGACACCCGGGAGUUACAAAAAUGGCCCUAUCAUUUGGCGCGCCAGGAAGGGGUGGUAUUGAGGAAGUUCCUCCCCUGACCUUUUCUGCUGGGAAACAGCACAUCGCAGAACAAAAGACGGUGAAACAGACGUCAUAGAGGUUGAGAUCCGUUCAAGGAGCACCAGCAAAAAGAUGGAUCCGUUCGAAAAAGAGGGCAAAACCACAAAUUUUUUAGAUCCGGUAAAAAUCGAGUCAACUUGCAGCCACCUCAAUCUACUGUCUAAAUCAAAAUAGCUGAGGGACGGAAGCACAGAGAUUCAAUUAGGGCUCCAACCCGGAAACUCGGUGUGACUCAGUGAGUGAACCCGGCUUGACAGUGAGUUCAGCGAGCCACUCAACGGGUCAACUCAGUAGCUCAAUCAGGAAGCCUCUCUCUCUCAUUUAUGUGUUUAUGUAAUCUUAUGAUUGUUAUGCACAUCUAAUUUGACUUGCUCAGCUUGUUAUUUAGCCCUUUAACAACAUUUCCAAAAAAUAGAUUGUUUUAUAUGCUGUAUAAUUUUAUUUUCAUAUGAAAUUAUGUCUGAAGUUGUUUUAGCUGCAAUUUUCUAUCUUUCUUCUGUCUGUCAAUUGUCUAAUUUGAAUGUUUUAGUUUUAAAAGUUAUGCUGCUAUAACUGGUUCAGACUAGGAAUUUUUCACAAUUGUAUUUAUUUUUUCAUUUUAUCUUUCUUAGUGCUCUACAUCCGCCAACAAUUAUUACAUAUACAAUAGUUUAUUGUGUUCAUUACACGUCAUCGCACGAUUGACACACUUAUUCUAGCCUCCGAGGUGAUUAAUCACAUUGUCUGCAGUGUUGAUUUGAGAUAUGGCAUCACAAUAUUCUGAGUAAUUGGGUCUGAAUAAUUGCCUAGCAACCCAUAUGACACUAUGCUCAUGCACUUAGUUGACAAUUCUGAUAAGUGCCUCCUCCCCUCUAAGCUAGUUAUUCUUAAGAGAGCAACCCUGCAACUUAAGUUGUUGAUUCGAAGAUUCAUUUGCGAUAUGAUACUAAAUUAUAUUCUGCCGUAUCAGCUGCCACAUUGUCAUUUCUUAACUCAUGAAAACACUUUUCAUUACUCGUUAUAAAGUGUCAUGAUGCAUUUUACGACUGGUUGAUCAUGGCUGCAACAUUCUAAAAUUUUGUCAGUGGUCAUUUUUACGCACAUUCACUGUUCUUACGUAUUCGAGCACCUUCAGCUGAUUGGUUGAUGUUAAUAUGGCAUUCUAUAAUUUUCUAACCAAUGGGGACAGGUUUGUCAUACCAGUUUGAUGUCAAGUAUCUGCAGACAAAUGAGGGGACGUUGGCCUAGAAUCUGCAGUUGUUUUGUGCCCCGUCCUGUAUCCCAGAUCUAUCUUAAGUAGUCAGGCAACACAUGUUAAUUCCAGGGGCAACCUCAUGAUUAUGAAAGUUGCAGAAUUCGAGAGCUCAAAGAGUUUUGUUUCAAGGACACCAGGUCAUCCGUUUCUCAGCAAAUUAAUUAGAUUUUUGAUCUUCUGAAUAUAUUCUCUAGUAUUUAAAAUUAACCUUGCAUGCUCUGCUGACCUGACGCAACACAUAAUUUUAAACAAUUGCUGAUUAAGAAAAUUUUGGGAGCUUUUUAGCUAGUGUGGAACAUUAGACCUCAUUGCGAUUGAUGAAUGUUUUUAAUCUGAAUAGAAAUUCAUGCUUAUACAGAAUUUAAGAUACAACCAGCCAAUUCAUGUUGUGUUCUCAUAUCUGAUAAUUUGCUCACUUACCAAAUACAAAAAUCUGCACCUAUUUUUCCUAACAUCAGUUCUCUCUCUAUUUUCGAUGUACAUAUUUAUUGCAACCAGCUAUGCAUAUCUGUUUGUGUUAAUACUUGGAGCAAUUGACUCGUUAACUAUCUUUGUUGCGUCAUAAAGAAAAUGAUUGUCACAACUACUUAUUUGAGAUGAAUUUUUUUUUACUUCCCUGAGCAGAAGGUGAUAUUUUAUCAUCCUACGAAUAACUUGCUGAAUAAUUUUAUGCACGCAUUGGAUAAUCUUGGUAAGCCUGCUAAUUUAUUUUAUCAUAAAUUUCACAAAGGAAAAAAGAGGAGUACAUGCCCAAGUACCCGUCCUGGUAGACCUUAAUGUCUGCAUUUUGCAUUAUAGCUCUAAAGUAGCAUCACAAUCUCUUGAUUACUCGCUUGGCAUCCCGAUCAUAUUAUGGUCCUGCAUUUGCUCGCAUAAGACUCAUUUUAGUUAAUGUCUCCCCGGUUUAUUCAAAUUUGAGUGUGUAGAAAUAGAGAGCUAUGAUCUAAGCUCAACAACGGAGCUUCCUUUGGUUUACAUCAGCUGUAGAGACAUUUAUCUAUGAUAAUUUUUAUAAUACUACAGGUAUACAACUCAAGGUAUAUGUAGUAUUUGUAUAAAAUUCUUGCUAUAUUGCAAGUAUCAUUCUGAUGCAUAUCAAUUGUCCCUAACUAUUCCUAGUAUUUAAAAUUACCUUUGCAUGCUCUGUUGGCUUGAAGCAAUCUCAAAUGCUAUACUCGCGAUAUAAAUGUCCUGUUUAUUGCUAGAAUAAGUAGCACUGACUAAACAGUAUUCGUUCAAUAUCCUUGCCUUGGGAUGAUUAGAAACAACUCUAUAAUCCUAUCAUUACAACUUCAAGAUGUAUUUUAGUGCUGGAAACAUUAUUUACAAACAUUAUUUACAAAAGCAUGUUAAUCUUUCUGACUUGCACUUUUAUUAAUCUGGCAACGAUUAUACAAUUAUAUCUUUCCAUUAUCAUGAUAUCUAUUUCCUUUAACUAAUUGCGCUUCUGCAUUGGCUCCUGGCUACUGCUUUGUUGAAGGAGACACAAGACAAAAGCUAAAAUUCACAUCACCCAUUCCUGGACACCAAUCAAGAAGUCAGCCAGAGUUUUAAUCAAAACGCAAGAUGAAUCAGAAAGGGCUCCAUCCCUCUUCCAGAAUCCAUCAACAACAAACAAUCGAGGGAGAGUUAUAUGACAUAAACUAUACCUGCAGCCUCAAAGCCAGUUGAUCACGGCAUAUAGCUCAGAGUUUCUUGAUAUGCACCUCAGAUUAUCCGAAACUCUAGCAUCAAAAGCCCUGUUAGAGCACAAUCUGAAGACGGUUUUGUGUAAGCCUGAUGGCUCAAGUCUCGAUAAAAAAGAAAAAAUAAUCACAGAAUUUGUACCCGGGCGAUCUCCCUCAAGCCCCCAAAAGCUCGAAAAUGCUUCCUCAACUUGUCAAAACUCAGAAGGAACAGACUAAUUCCAAGGUGGUGACUUAAGGUGGGUUGCUCAUGAGACCUGUGGAGCCUCAUAUGUUCUCCAGCACACAAAGCAAAGAAGCCGGACCAGGGCUCUCAUUUCCUGUCAGCAAGAUGAUUCUGGAAGGACUACAUUCUUUUUCUCUAAAUCCAUCAUGAGNNNNNNNNNNNNNNNNNNNNNNNNNNNNNNNNNNNNNNNNNNNNNNNNNNNNNNNNNNNNNNNNNNNNNNNNNNNNNNNNNNNNNNNNNNNNNNNNNNNNNNNNNNNNNNNNNNNNNNNNNNNNNNNNNNNNNNNNNNNNNNNNNNNNNNNNNNNNNNNNNNNNNNNNNNNNNNNNNNNNNNNNNNNNNNNNNNNNNNNNNNNNNNNNNNNNNNNAAAAAAAAAAAAAGAAAAAAAAAAAAGGGCCGACUACCCGCAGACAAAAAGUUGUAUUCUAUCACAAAACGGGCUGACUACCCGCAGACAAAAAGUUGUAUUCUAUCACAAAAUGGGCUGACUACCGGCAGACAAAAAGUUGAAUUAUAUCACAAAAAAUGGGCUCAUCACCGUAGACAACAAAUUAUUAUUUUAUCUCAAAACAGGCUGGCGCAAACAACAAUUCGCAAUUUUAUUAGAAAACGGGAUCGCAUCCGUCAAUUCACUGGGGGACACCAAAUUAAAUAAGUUCACACGAUUUAAGUAAUUGUUGGCGGAUCUCAACCCGUCAACAAUGACUGGGGGCAAAGGUAUAACAUAGACAAAUAACUCUGGGGCAAAGGUAUAACACAGACAAAUAAUUCCUAUUAAAUACACGUAAUUGCAAAAAAUUACACGAGUGGAAGACAAAUACAAUCUAGGGUAUGGAAAGUGAUGACAACAAACAAAAACAUUUAUGCAAAUGAGACAAAAUCUAUUCUUCUAAAGACACAACACAACAUAACACAUGAUGGAAUACAUCUUGUUGCAUCUGAUAACGGGGAACUUCAAUCCCAGCACAACACACAACGAAAUACACCUCGCUACUAUUAGAUAGUAUGGGAUCCUCAACCCCCAUACACAAACAUGUCAUAUAACUGAAUACACCCCGUUACCCGGACCCAACACUCACCAAAGUCUAGACAUGAAUAGAAGGCAAGUACAUCAAAACAUUCCAUCAGUAUAUUAUACUCCUCCAACUCACUGAAGUAAGUUAAAGGAGUGGGGGGCAAUUAUAGUACCCGCCUUCUCCACAUCACAAUAUACUCUUUAUAUACAUGGCAUAUCAUUUACUUUUACAUUAUGUACAUUUCACAAUAUGUACCAUAUAAGAAAGGAGACAGGAGAAAGAACACAAUCCAUAAGUUGUAGUACUCGCCUCCACCAGUUUAAAUUGUUUAUGGAUCUUGUACUCAAAAUUCAGAUCCAAGGCACCAACAUUCAAACAGGACUAGAUGGUAAAAACGUCCAAGCACUCCCUCAGAAUCUUAUACUCCUCUAACUCACUAAAGUAAUUCAAAGAAGCAGGGGGGCAAUGAUAGUACCUGUUAUCACAGACAUAUGCUAAUAGCCAUCUAAACAAUGGAUCACAGGAACCAUGCCCAUCAUAGCGUGUGAGUGCACGUGCCUGCCAACAAGGAAGGGCAUGUUAUAACAAGUAUCAGUGUCUAAUUUAAACAAACGUGAGUCACUAAACAUCAACAUACACACCAGUCUGACCAGUCUGGAUAAACAUAAUAUUUGUGCUUCACUAUUGUAAGAAUUACACAGAAUAAAGAAAAUUAAGUGGUCGAAUCACACAUACUCUGUUGACAAUAUUCAUGAGGACUAAAAAUAAAAUAAAAUAUUUAACCUCUAAAACACUCACCUCAAUAUCUUAUGCUCCUACAACUCACUAAAGUAAGCUAAAGGAGUGGGGGCAGUGACAGGGGCCUCCCUAAAUAUCAGUCAGUCCGCCCCGGAGACCAGUACCCGUCAACUCCGUCACCCAUUCUGCAACCCGCUGUCCGUGACCUUGCAGACAUCAGGCCUUGGAUGCCCGCCAUGCUCUGUUGACAAUAUCCAAGAUGGCAUCGCAUUCGUCGAAAGAGUGACUCAUGUUAUUGAUCACAAGGCAAGCGUAGAGGCUAUAAAGAUGAAGCAGUGUAAGAAGUGAAGAACGAGACCCCCACUUAAAUAGGCCGGUGAAGAGUUGGUUACAAUAAAAAAAGAAAAAUAUGUAAUGAAGUUCAACAGAAAAACUCGGAACUAGUCCACCCCUCACAUAUAUACUUCCCCGCGUUAACCAGAAGGCCAACACGAAGAAGCAGGGGGGCAAUGAUAAGGGACCUCCUAAACAGCGGGUAAUCAACACUGAAGACUUGACUUCCCCGUUGACACCUUUACCCGGAAUGUAAUCGUUAGCCUCAGGACGGGAUCGAUCAUGUCAUAUAAUCCACCCCGGAGACCAGAUUAAACCCGUCAACUCUGUCACCCAUCUGGCGACCCGCUGUCCCAGGCCUUGAAGCGGACAUCGAACCCGUCAUCUCCUCCCAGCCGGGUGACACGACAGAGAUCACGUGAUGCCUUGCGGGAGCCGCGUUCAUCCUUGCAGGUAUAAAUAGGAAAAGCAAGAGAGUGAUCUGGUAAGCCUAAAUCUCUAGUCUGAUUCUCUUCUCUUAGAAAACCAAGACUGAUUGUCACGCCGGAGGCGCGAAUCGGACAACACCACCGAACGAGCGGUGUUUUGCAGGAACACUACCCUGGCAGGUGCACCACAUGACGAGAAGAAGAACAGCAAAGAGACACCCGGGAGUUACAAAAAUGGCC
rnacentral:lncRNA from 1 species